GCUCCCCUGCUAAGGGAGUAUGGGAGAAAUCCCAUCGAGGGUUCGAAUCCCUCUCUCUCCGCCA
rnacentral:tRNA from 1 species